UACGAAGGGGGCUAGCGUUGUUCGGAAUCACUGGGCGUAAAGGGCGCGUAGGCGGCGCGACAAGUCAGGCGUGAAAGCCCCGGGCUCAACCCGGGAAUUGCGCUUGAUACUGUCGUGCUUGAGGCCGGGAGAGGAUGGCGGAAUUCCCAGUGUAGAGGUGAAAUUCGUAGAUAUCAGGAGGAACACCGGUGGCGAAGGUGGAUCUCUGGGCCUGUCCUGACGCUGAGGCGCGAAAGCUAGGGGAGCGAACAGG
rnacentral:rRNA from 1 species